rnacentral:rRNA from 1 species
UGUGGUUUWAUUUCGAUGCAACGCGAAGAACCUUACCUGGUCUUGACAUAGUARGAACUUUYCAGAGAUGGAUUGGUGGCCUUCGGGMACCUUACAUACAGGUGCUGCAUGGGCUUGUCGUCAGCUCGUGUCGUGAGAUGUUGGGUUAAGUCCCGCAACGAGCGCAACCCUUUUCCUUACUUGCCAGCAUUUCGGAUGGGAACUUUAAGGAUACUGCCAGUGACAAACUGGAGGAAGGCGGGGACGACGUCAAGUCAUCAUGGCCCUUACGACCAGGGCUACACACGUGCUACAAUGGUCGGUACAAAGGGUUGCUACCUAGCGAUAGGAUGCUAAUCUCAAAAAGCCGAUCGUAGUCCGGAUUGGAGUCUGCAACUCGACUCCAUGAAGUCGGAAUCGCUAGUAAUCGCGGAUCAGAAUGCCGCGGUGAAUACGUUCCCGGGCCUUGUACACACCGCCCGUCACACCAUGGGAGUUUGUUGCACCAGAAGUAGGUAGUCUAACCGUAAGGAGGACGCUACCACGGUUGCCCGAAGUAGG